CUCCCCUGGCUCAAACUUAAAGGAAGACAACACCGAUCCGCUGAGAGGAUCUACGCAACAGACAUCAGAUGAACAUAAAUCAUCACUGAGAUCAGUCCGUAAUACAAGCAACAACCUACUGUCACUAUGAUAUAGAACCUUUCGAGGAGUGCCGCCAAAAUGAAAUUUCUGCACAUUAAGCCGUUUACUAGGCACCAUCUCGACCUGAAACAAAAAAAUAGAUGGCCACUUUGACUGACUAUUAAAGGUGUAAAAAGACCAAGAUCGAUAUAUACAACUAAACACAGUCGACCUC
rnacentral:lncRNA from 1 species